UACGGGGGGAGCAAGCGUUGUUCGGAUUUACUGGGCGUAAGGGGCGCGUAGGCGGUCGUGACAAGUCACUUGUGAAAUCUCCGGGCUUAACUCGGAACGGUCAAGUGAUACUGUCGGACUAGAGUACAGAAGGGGCAACUGGAAUUCUCGGUGUAGCGGUGAAAUGCGUAGAUAUCGAGAGGAACACCUGCGGCGAGGGCGGGUUGCUGGGCUGAUACUGACGCUGAGGCGCGAAAGCCAGGGGAGCGAACGGG
rnacentral:rRNA from 1 species